rnacentral:ncRNA from 2 species
AUGCCAUGCGCGGGAGAGUGCCUCUUUCAGGGGCCGCCGAAGGAGCAACCGCCCCGGAAUCUCUCAGGCACCAGGGACCGCGCGAGGCUA